rnacentral:rRNA from 1 species
AGAGUUUGAUCAUGGCUCAGAUUGAACGCUGGCGGCAGGCCUAACACAUGCAAGUCGAGCGGUAGCACAGAGAGCUUGCUCUCGGGUGACGAGCGGCGGACGGGUGAGUAAUGUCUGGGAAACUGCCUGAUGGAGGGGGAUAACUACUGGAAACGGUAGCUAAUACCGCAUAACGUCGCAAGACCAAAGUGGGGGACCUUCGGGCCUCAUGCCAUCAGAUGUGCCCAGAUGGGAUUAGCUAGUAGGUGAGGUAACGGCUCACCUAGGCGACGAUCCCUAGCUGGUCUGAGAGGAUGACCAGCCACACUGGAACUGAGACACGGUCCAGACUCCUACGGGAGGCAGCAGUGGGGAAUAUUGCACAAUGGGCGCAAGCCUGAUGCAGCCAUGCCGCGUGUGUGAAGAAGGCCUUCGGGUUGUAAAGCACUUUCAGCGGGGAGGAAGGCGUUAAGGUUAAUAACCUUGGCGAUUGACGUUACCCGCAGAAGAAGCACCGGCUAACUCCGUGCCAGCAGCCGCGGUAAUACGGAGGGUGCAAGCGUUAAUCGGAAUUACUGGGCGUAAAGCGCACGCAGGCGGUCUGUCAAGUCGGAUGUGAAAUCCCCGGGCUCAACCUGGGAACUGCAUUCGAAACUGGCAGGCUAGAGUCUUGUAGAGGGGGGUAGAAUUCCAGGUGUAGCGGUGAAAUGCGUAGAGAUCUGGAGGAAUACCGGUGGCGAAGGCGGCCCCCUGGACAAAGACUGACGCUCAGGUGCGAAAGCGUGGGGAGCAAACAGGAUUAGAUACCCUGGUAGUCCACGCCGUAAACGAUGUCGAUUUGGAGGUUGUGCCCUUGAGGCGUGGCUUCCGGAGCUAACGCGUUAAAUCGACCGCCUGGGGAGUACGGCCGCAAGGUUAAAACUCAAAUGAAUUGACGGGGGCCCGCACAAGCGGUGGAGCAUGUGGUUUAAUUCGAUGCAACGCGAAGAACCUUACCUGGUCUUGACAUCCACAGAACUUUCCAGAGAUGGAUUGGUGCCUUCGGGAACUGUGAGACAGGUGCUGCAUGGCUGUCGUCAGCUCGUGUUGUGAAAUGUUGGGUUAAGUCCCGCAACGAGCGCAACCCUUAUCCUUUGUUGCCAGCGGUCCGGCCGGGAACUCAAAGGAGACUGCCAGUGAUAAACUGGAGGAAGGUGGGGAUGACGUCAAGUCAUCAUGGCCCUUACGACCAGGGCUACACACGUGCUACAAUGGCAUAUACAAAGAGAAGCGACCUCGCGAGAGCAAGCGGACCUCAUAAAGUAUGUCGUAGUCCGGAUUGGAGUCUGCAACUCGACUCCAUGAAGUCGGAAUCGCUAGUAAUCGUAGAUCAGAAUGCUACGGUGAAUACGUUCCCGGGCCUUGUACACACCGCCCGUCACACCAUGGGAGUGGGUUGCAAAAGAAGUAGGUAGCUUAACCUUCGGGAGGGCGCUUACCACUUUGUGAUUCAUGACUGGGGUGAAGUCGUAACAAGGUAACCGUAGGGGAACCUGCGGUUGGAUCACCU